rnacentral:rRNA from 1 species
GGAGUUUGGACCGUGUCUCAGUUCCAAUGUGGGGGACCUUCCUCUCAGAACCCCUACUGAUCGUCGGCUUGGUGGGCCGUUACCCCGCCAACAACCUAAUCAGACGCAUCCCCAUCCUAUACCGGUAAACCUUUGGUAUUCUUCAGAUGUCCUCGAAAUACAACAUAGAGUAUUAAUCCGACUUUCGCCGGGCUAUUCUCUAGUAUAGGGAAGGUUGGAUACGCGUUACUCACCCGUGCGCCGGUCGCCAUCAGAGUUUGCAAGCAAACUCCAUGAUGCCCCUCGACUUGCAUGUGUUAAGCCUGUAGCUAGCGUUCAUC